rnacentral:rRNA from 1 species
AACGAACGCUGGCGGCGGGGUUUAGGCAUGCAAGUCGAGCGAGAAAGCGCAAGCUGAGUACAGCGGCGUAAGGGUGAGUAAUAGGUAGUCAACGUACCGGGCAGACGCGAAUAAUUUCCCGAAGGGAUUGUAAUGCGCGAUGAGAUCACGGGCACCACGGUGCAUGGGAUCAAAGGUCGGGGAUCCUUCGGGACCUGGCGCUGUCUGAGCGGACUACCUCUGGAUUAGCUAGUUGGCGGGGUAACGGCCCACCAAGGCGAUGAUCAGUAGCCGGCCUGAGAGGGUGUCCGGCCACACUGGGACUGAGGACACUGCCCAGACUCCUACGGGAGGCUGCAGUCGCGAAUCAUUCACAAUGGACGCAAGUCUGAUGAUGCC